AGGACGAACGCUGGCGGCGCGCUUAAUACAUGCAAGUCGAGCGAGAACCAGGGCUUCGGCCCUGGGGACAGCGGCGAACGGGUGAGUAACACGUGGGUAAUCAACCCCCGACACCGGGAUAGCCCAGGGAAACUUGGAUUAAUACCGGAUGCUCCAUCUGGCUUUCGAGCCGGCUGGAAAAGGGUAGCUUCGGCCUCCGGUCGGGGACGAGCCCGCGGCGGAUUAGCUUGUUGGUGAGGUAAAGGCUCACCAAGGCGACGAUCCGUAGCUGGUCUGAGAGGACGAUCAGCCACACUGGGACUGAGACACGGCCCAGACUCCUACGGGAGGCAGCAGUAGGGAAUCUUGCGCAAUGGGCGAAAGCCUGACGCAGCGACGCCGCGUGAGGGAAGAAGGCCUUCGGGUUGUAAACCUCUUUCAGGAGGGACGAAGCCACUCGGGUUAAUAGCCCAGAGGGUGACGGUACCUCCAGAACGAGCCCCGGCUAACUACGUGCCAGCAGCCGC
rnacentral:rRNA from 1 species